AUUGAACGCUGGCGGCAGGCCUAACACAUGCAAGUCGAGCGAGCGGCGGACGGGUGAGGAAUGUAAUGGGACUGCCUGAUAGAGGGGGAUCACUACUGGAAAAGGUAGCUAAUACCGCAUACUAUAGGAUAACCCAUAUGGGAUUAGCUAGUAGGGGUGGUAAUGGCUCAACUAGGCGACGAUCCCUAGCUGGUCUGCUAGGAUGAUCAGCCACACUGGGACUGAGACACGGCCCAGACUCCUACGGAGGCAGCAGUGGUGAAUAUUGCACAAGGGGCGCAAGCCUGAUGCAGCCAUGCCGCGUGUAUGAAGAAGGCCCUAGGGUUGUAAAGUACUUUCAGUCGGGAGGCGUUACCGACAGAAGAAGCACCGGCUAACUCCGUGCCAGCCGCCGCGGUAAUUC
rnacentral:rRNA from 1 species